rnacentral:rRNA from 1 species
CCGGCUUACCAACCCGAUGCAAACUGCGAAUACCGGAGAAUGUUAUCACGGGAGACACACGGCGGGUGCUAACGUCCGUCGUGAAGAGGGAAACAACCCAGACCGCCAGCUAAGGUCCCAAAGUCAUGGUUAAGUGGGAAACGAUGUGGGAAGGCCCAGACAGCCAGGAUGUUGGCUUAGAAGCAGCCAUCAUUUAAAGAAAGCGUAAUAGCUCACUGGUCGAGUCGGCCUGCGCGGAAGAUGUAACGGGGCUAAACCAUGCACCGAAGCUGCGGCAGCGACACUGUGUGUUGUUGGGUAGGGGAGCGUUCUGUAAGCCUGUGAAGGUGUGUCGUGAGGCAUGCUGGAGGUAUCAGA